GUGCUCACUUUGGCAGCACAUAUACUAAAAUUGGAACGAUACAGAGAACAUUAGCAUGGCCCCUGCACAAGGAUGACACGCAAAUUUGUGAAGCGUUCCAUAUUUUU
rnacentral:snRNA from 1 species